UACUACAAACGUUUCNGCAGAGCCUGCUCC
rnacentral:piRNA from 1 species